rnacentral:piRNA from 1 species
GCCACUCAAUUGGGAGUCUAGGGGGA